rnacentral:tRNA from 1 species
GCAUUGGUGGUUCAGCGGCAGAAUUCUUGCCUUCCAUGCAGGAGACCUGGGUUCGACUCCUGGCCUAACGUA